rnacentral:rRNA from 1 species
UACGUAGGGUGCAAGCGUUGUCCGGAAUUAUUGGGCGUAAAGAGCUCGUAGGCGGUCUGUCACGUCUGCUGUGAAAACUCGGGGCUUAACCCCGGGCCUGCAGUGGGUACGGGCAGACUAGAGUGCGGUAGGGGAGACUGGAAUUCCUGGUGUAGCGGUGAAAUGCGCAGAUAUCAGGAGGAACACCGGUGGCGAAGGCGGGUCUCUGGGACGGUACUGACGCUGAGACGCGAAAGCGUGGGGAGCGAACAGG